UACGAGAGGCCCAAACGUUAUUCGGAUUUACUGGGCUUAAAGAGUCCGUAGGCGGCGCAGAAAGUAGGGUGUGAAAGCCCUCGGCUCAACCGAGGAAUUGCGCCCUAAACUACCGUGCUCGAGGAAGAUAGAGGUGAGCGGAACUUACGGUGGAGCGGUGAAAUGCGUUGAUAUCGUAAGGAACACCCGUGGCGAAAGCGGCUCACUGGGUCUUUUCUGACGCUGAUGCACGAAAGCUAGGGGAGCAAACGGG
rnacentral:rRNA from 1 species